AUGGCCCUCCUGCACUCCAGGCGCAUCCUCUCGGGGAUGGCUGCUGCCUUUCUCCCAGGCCUAGCUGCUGCAGCCUCUGCCAGAGCCAGCUCCUGGUGGACCCAUGUGGAAAUGGGACCUCCAGAUCCUAUCCUGGGAGUUACCGAAGCCUUCAAGAGAGAUACCAACAGCAAGAAGAUGAACCUGGGAGUGGGUGCCUACCGGGAUGAUAACGGAAAGCCUUAUGCUCCCCAGUGUCUGCAAGGCAGAGGCCCAGAUUGCUGCAAAAAAUUUGGACAAAGAAUACCUGCACAUUGGGGGACUGGCUGAAUUCUGUUAAGGCUUCUGCAGAACUGGCCCUGGGCAAGAACAACGAAGUGUUGAAAAGCGGCCGGUUCGUCACUGUGCAGACCAUUUCUGGGACUGGAGCCUUAAGGGUCGGAGCCAGUUUUCUGCAAAGGUUUUUUUAAGUUCAGCCGAGAUGUCUUUCUGCCCAAACCAUCCUGGGGGAAUCACACGCCCAUCUUCAGGGAUGCCGGCAUGCAGCUCCAAGGUUAUCGCUACUAUGACCCCAAGACUUGCUGCUUUGACUUCUCUGGAGCCCUAGAAGACAUAUCAAAAAUCCCAGAGCAGAGUGUUCUCCUCCUGCAUGCCUGCGCUCACAACCCCACCGGCGUGGACCCGCGUCCAGAGCAGUGGAAGGAGAUAGCAUCCGUGGUGAAGAAAAAGAAUCUCGGGCUGAGGAAGGGGGAACCUAGCACCAAGUAA